rnacentral:lncRNA from 1 species
UCUAGUAGUUUUCUGGUGGCAUCUUUAGGAUUUUCUAUGUAUAUUAUCAUGUCAUCUGCAAAUAGUGACAGUUUUACUUCUUCCUUUCCAAUUUGGAUUCCUUUUUUUUCUUUUUCUUUCUUAUUGUCAUGGCUAGGAUUCUCAAAAUUAUGUUGAAUAAAAGUGGUGAGAGUGGAUACCAUUGAUUGUUCCUGAUCUUAGUGGAAAUGCUUUCAGCUUUUCACCAUUGAGAGUGAUGUGGGUUUGUCAUAUAUGGCCUUUAUUAUGUUGAGGGAAGUUCCCUCUAUGCACAUUUUCUGGAAGGUUUCUCCAUAACUGGGUGUUCAAUUUUGUCAAAAGCCUUUUCUGCAUCUAUUGAGAUGACCGUAUGGUUUUUGUUCUUCAGUUUGUUAAUGUCAUAUAUCACAUCGAUUGACUUGUGGAUAUUGAAGAAUCUUUGUAUCCCUGAGAUAAAUCCCACUUGUUCUUUUUAAUGUAUUGUUGGAUUCAGUUUCCCAAUAUAUUUUGUUUAGUACUUUUGUGUCCAUGUUCAUCACUGUUAUUGGCCUGUAAUUUUCUUUUUUUGUGUUAUCUUUGUAUAUUUUUGAUAUCAGGGUGAUGGUAGCCUUAUAGAAUGAGCUCAGGAGUGUUCCUUCCUCUGCAGUUUUUUAGAAGCAUUUCGGAAGGAUAGGUGUUAAUUCUUCUCUAAAUGUUUGACUCAAUUUGUCUAUCAACCAUCUGGGACUGGACUUUUAUUUUUUGGAAGUUUUUAAAUCAGUUUCAAUUUCAGUGCUUGUAAUUUGUCUAUUCAUAUUGUUUAUUUCUUCCUGGUUCAGUCUUGGAAGUCUGUAUCUUUGUAAAAAUAUCUCUUUCUUCUAGGUUUUCCAUUUCAUUGGCGCUUGAGAUGGAAGCAACUGAAUCAUUACAGCAAUUGAAAUUACACUUUUCAGGCAUUUGAAGCUGACAUGAAAAGAAAAAUUCCUCAGCUCCUUUGUCCUGAGACAGAAUUCAAUGUUGACAUACUUGUCAUGUUACAACAAGAAAAUUGGUGAAUUAGCUAUUGUCUCUAGUGUCCCUUUGAGGGUUCAGUUGUUGUAUCCAUAUGUCACAGGUGUAUUUGGGCUUAGGUCUUCCCAAAGAAGAGGUUAAAAAUAAAAGGUAAAUAUAUGGGUGAUGGGAUCUCCAAACACUUAGGAUGCAGUUUGGGGCCAUGAUAGAAUUGAAGCGGUAUCACUGAAUGUUAGGUGGGUUAAUGGCCACACAGUGCCCAAGUUAAUAGCUUCCUAAAUAGGCUCUGUUCCCAACAUAAACCAUUUGCAUAGUUGGUUAUAGCCCUGGGAAUAAAUGUAGUGUGGAAUGAUCUCCUGCGUCUAUUAUGAGUAGAGCUUCUAAGUGUUCUGAUAUGAGAUUUGACCUCUUAUGGGUACUAGAUGCCAGGCAUCUAAUGCCUAUCAUGAGUAUCUUUACUCUUAAUAAAUGAUUAAGAUCAUUUGAGUUAAAUUUCUAUAAUAUAGUCACAAAAAAUGAAUAGAGAUAGCAUAAGGGUAACUCAAAACUGGAUGAUUUUUUUUAGGGUGUUAAAUUUGAGCAUAAAUGUUUUGGGAGGUACAUAUAGACUGGGCCUCUCAAAAGUCUCUGAGUUAAAGUAGGCUUGCAAGUUCCAGAAAGCUCUGGCAUCUAAAGAAUACUGGACUGACUGCUUUAAGAAAUCUAUAAGGGGAGAUUGAAGCUGAAGGGAUGAAUAUCCUAAAUCCAAGGAACAUUUGAAAAGUCUUAUGUGCUAGAGUUAAAUGUAGACAUAUAUUUUAUUGGAAAGUAGUUAAAGAAUUGCAAAGGUUUUAACUGUAAUUUCCCAACAUUUUCUGUCCUGUCUUGCCAUUUGGAUUUCUCCUAUCUUUCUAUGGAAACAAGCUGACAUGGACCUAAAUCCAAAUCUUUAGUGAAUCUUUCAUAAGGGGUAACUUUAGAACACAAGUAUCUUCU